rnacentral:rRNA from 1 species
GGUGGCGGCGUGCUUAUAAUGCAAGUCGAACGAGGAGUAGUAAUACUCCGAGUGGCGAACGGGUGAGUAACGCGUAGACGACCUGCCCCGAAGUGAGGGAUACCAGUUCGAAAGGACUGCUAAUACCGCAUGCGGUCUGGGGGUUUAGAAGCCCCAGUAGAAAGCCGAAAGGCGCUUUGGGAGGGGUCUGCGUCCCAUCAGCUAGUUGGUAGGGUAAAGGCCUACCAAGGCGACGACGGGUAGGGGGCCUGAGAGGGUGACCCCCCACACUGGCACUGAAACACGGGCCAGACACCUACGGGUGGCAGCAGUAGGGAAUAUUGCACAAUGGGCGCAAGCCUGAUGCAGCAACGCCGCGUGCACGAUGAAGGCCUUCGGGUCGUAAAGUGCUUUUCGGGGAGAUGAGGAAGGACAGUAUCCCCGGAAUAAGGAUCGGCUAACUACGUGCCAGCAGCCGCGGUAAAACGUAGGAUCCGAGCGUUAUCCGAAUUCACUGGGCGUAAAGCGCGAGCAGGCGGCUGGAUAAGUUGGAUGUGAAAUCUCCUGGCUCAACUGGGAGAGGUCGUUCAAGACUAUCUGGCUCGAGGGCAGUAGAGGGAGGUGGAAUUCCCGGUGUAGUGGUGAAAUGCGUAGAUAUCGGGAGGAACACCAGUAGCGAAAGCGGCCUCCUGGGCUGCACCUGACGCUGAGACGCGAAAGCUAGGGGAGCAAACGGGAUUAGAAACCCCGGUAGUCCUAGCCGUAAACGAUGUAGACUGGGUGUGGGGUGGGGGUAAAAGCCAUCCGUGCCGAAGCCAACGCGAUAAGUCUACCGCCUGGGGACUACGGCCGC